rnacentral:rRNA from 1 species
UACGGAGGGUGCGAGCGUUGUCCGGAAUCACUGGGCGUAAAGGGCGCGUAGGCGGCCUGGUAAGUAGGGGGUGAAAUCCUGCGGCUUAACCGCAGGGCUGCCUUCUAAACUGUCAGGCUCGAGCACGGUAGAGGCAGAUGGAAUUCCCGGUGUAGCGGUGGAAUGCGUAGAGAUCGGGAAGAACAUCAGUGGCGAAGGCGGUCUGCUGGGCCGUAACUGACGCUGAGGAGCGAAAGCGUGGGGAGCGAACAGG